UACGUAGGCAGCGAGCGUUGUUCGGAAUUACUGGGCGUAAAGAGUGCGUAGGUGGUGGUCCCAGUCUGUUGUGAAAUCUCCCGGCUUAACUGGGAGGGUGCAGCGGAAACUAGAAUGCUAGAGGGUGGGAGAGGUAAGGGGAAUUCCUGGUGUAGCGGUGAAAUGCGUAGAUAUCAGGAGGAACACCUGUGGUGUAGACAGCUUACUGGACCACUUCUGACGCUGAGACACGAAAGCGUGGGUAGCAAACAGG
rnacentral:rRNA from 1 species